rnacentral:rRNA from 1 species
AUUGAACGCUGGCGGCAGGCCUAACACAUGCAAUUCGAACGAGUGGCGGACUGGUGAGUAAUGUCUGGGAAACUGCCUGAGGGAGGGGGAUAACUAAUGGAAACGGUAGCUAAUACCGCAUACCAUCGGAUGUGCCCAGAUUGGAUUAGCUAGGAGGUGGGGUAACGGCUCACCUAGGCGACGAUCCCUAGCUGGUCUGAGAGGAGGACCCGCCACACUGGAACUGAGACACGGUCCAGACUCCUACGGGAGGCAGCAGUGGGGAAUAUUGCGCAAUGGGCGCAAGCCUGAUGCAGCCAUGCCGCGUGUAUGAAGAAGGCCUUCGGGUUGUAAAGUACUUUCAGCGGGGAGGCGUUACCCGAAGAAGAAGCACCGGCUAACUCCGUGCCAGCAGCCGCGGUAAUUC